UACGUAGGUGGCGAGCGUUGUCCGGAUUUACUGGGCGUAAAGGGAGCGUAGGCGGACUUUUAAGUGAGAUGUGAAAUACUCGGGCUCAACUUGAGUGCUGCAUUUCAAACUGGAAGUCUAGAGUGCAGGAGAGGAGAAUGGAAUUCCUAGUGUAGCGGUGAAAUGCGUAGAGAUUAGGAAGAACACCAGUGGCGAAGGCGAUUCUCUGGACUGUAACUGACACUGAGGUACGAAAGCGUGGGGAGCAAACAGG
rnacentral:rRNA from 1 species